rnacentral:rRNA from 1 species
AUACGGAGGAUGCGAGCGUUAUCCGGAUUUAUUGGGUUUAAAGGGUGCGUAGGCUGUGCGUUAAGUCAGGGGUGAAAUGCCGUCGCUCAACGACGGAGCUGCCCUUGAUACUGGCGUGCUGGAGUACGGAUGCCGUUGGAGGAAUGAGUGGUGUAGCGGUGAAAUGCUUAGAUAUAACUCAGAACACCGAUUGCGAAGGCAUCUGACGAAUCCGUCACUGACGCUGAGGCACGAAAGCGUGGGGAUAGAACAGAAUUAGAUUCCCUGGUAUUCCACGCCGUAAACGAUGAUGACUAACCGUCGGCGAUAGACAGCCGGUGGCCAAGCGAAAGCGAUAAGUCAUCCACCUGGGGAGUACGUCGGCAACGAUGAAACUCAAAUGAAUUGGCGGGG